rnacentral:rRNA from 1 species
GCUGGCGGCGUGCCUAAUACAUGCAAGUCGAGCGGACAGAUGGGAGCUUGCUCCCUGAAGUCAGCGGCGGACGGUUGAGUAACACGUGGGCAACCUGCCUGUAAGACUGGGAUAACUCCGGGAAACCGGGGCUAAUACCGGAUAACUCUUUCCCUCACAUGAGGGAAAGCUGAAAGAUGGUUUCGGCUAUCACUUACAGAUGGGCCCGCGGCGCAUUAGCUAGUUGGUGAGGUAACGGCUCACCAAGGCGACGAUGCGUAGCCGACCUGAGAGGGUGAUCGGCCACACUGGGACUGAGACACGGCCCAGACUCCUACGGGAGGCAGCAGUAGGGAAUCUUCCGCAAUGGACGAAAGUCUGACGGAGCAACGCCGCGUGAGUGAUGAAGGUUUUCGGAUCGUAAAACUCUGUUGUCAGGGAAGAACAAGUACCGGAGUAACUGCCGGUACCUUGACGGUACCUGACCAGAAAGCCACGGCUAACUACGUGCCAGCAGCCGCGGUAAUACGUAGGUGGCAAGCGUUGUCCGGAAUUAUUGGGCGUAAAGCGCGCGCAGGCGGUUCCUUAAGUCUGAUGUGAAAGCCCCCGGCUCAACCGGGGAGGGUCAUUGGAAACUGGGGAACUUGAGUGCAAAAGAGAAGAGUGGAAUUCCCCGUGUAGCGGUGAAAUGCGUAGAGAUGUGGAGGAACACCAGUGGC